UUUAUACUCCUUUCGUCCCGAAUUAUUUAUCGCGGAAAUGAAUAAAAAUGGAUGUAUGUAGAACUAAAAUAUGUCUGCAUACAUCCAUUUCCACGACAAGUAAUUCCAGAUGAAGAGAGUACUAA
rfam:Triticum aestivum genome assembly, contig: Triticum_aestivum_CS42_TGACv1_scaffold_114461_2AS